rnacentral:rRNA from 1 species
GGCGGCGUGCCUAACACAUGCAAGUCGCACGAGAAAGUGGAGCAAUCCAUGAGUAAAGUGGCGCACGGGUGAGUAACACGUGAAUUAUCUACCUUCGAGUGGGGAAUAACCUCGGGAAACCGAGGCUAAUACCGCAUAACACCUACGGGUCAAAGCAGCAAUGCGCUUGAAGAGGAGUUCGCGGCAGAUUAGUUAGNNNNNNNGGUAAUGGCCCACCAAGACGAUGAUCUGUAUCCGGCCUGAGAGGGCGCACGGACACACUGGAACUGAAACACGGUCCAGACUCCUACGGGAGGCAGCAGUGGGGAAUUUUGCGCAAUGGGGGAAACCCUGACGCAGCAACGCCGCGUNNAGGAUGAAAUCCCUUGGGAUGUAAACUCCUUUCGAUCGGGACGAUUAUGACGGUACCGGAAGAAGAAGCCCCGGCUAACUUCGUGCCAGCAGCCGCGGUAAUACGAGGGGGGCANNNGUUGUUCGGAAUUAUUGGGCGUAAAGGGCGCGUAGGCGGUCUGACAAGUCUGAUGUGAAAUCUAUGGGCUCAACCCAUAGCCUGCAUCGGAAACUGUCGGGCUUGAGUAUGGGAGAGGUGAGUGGAAUUUCCGGUGUAGCGGUGAAAUGCGUAGAUAUCGGAAGGAACACCUGUGGCGAAAGCGGCUCACUGGACCAUUACUGACGCUGAGGCGCGAAAGCUAGGGGAGCAAACAGGAUUAGAUACCCUGGUAGUCCUAGCCCUAAACGAUGAUUGCUUGGUGUG